UGACGUCAAGUCAUCAUGGCCCUUAUGUCCAGGGCGACACACGUGCUACAAUGGCCGGCAACAGCGGGAAGCGAGGGGCGACCUGAGCGGAUCCCUCAAAGCCGGUCUCAGUUCGGAUUGCAGUCUGCAACUCGACUGCAUGAAGUUGGAAUCGCUAGUAAUCGUGGAUCAGCCAAGCCGCGGUGAAUACGUUCCCGGGCCUU
rnacentral:rRNA from 1 species